UUUGCACAUUUCGUUCUAUCUCAUUCUAAUGGUUGUCUGUUUCUCUUUCUCGUAGACAUCCUAUAAGAUCGGCCAACUCAUUACGCUACCGUAACGCCAAUUUACUUUGUUGUGAUUCCAUAAGCCUGUUUCAUCACACGCUUCACCAUCAUAUGAUUCAUAGUCUGAUGGUUGCCCUCAGUGAUUUAUGUGUUUUUUCUGUACUGCUCGAAUUAUUUAUGCAAAUUAUGUUCCAAUAUUCAUUGAUUGCAAACUAAUCAGUAAAUAUUUAUGCCACAUGGUGCAAAGCAUUGGCCAAUUAAUUGUGUGAGUCUACAUGUGAAUUGUAUCAAAUCUGUAUUGUUAAUGGCAUACUGGGGGCUUUUAGGCGUAUCCACUUAGGUCAGCUUAAGUUCGACUUAAGUGUUUGCGAAAUUAUCCUUUACUCAUACAUAGCCCUGUAUUCAUUUGCCGGUUUCGGUAGAACGUCCCUGUUACGAACAUUGUCUAUAGGCAGAUAUUUACCCCUUGGUAUGAGUCACAUUGGAACAAUGGCAUUAUUUUGCGUCACUUUCUGUUUGUUCGUGCUCUGUUGACUGUAGUCGCUUAGAAGCCGGUCGUUUGUCUGUUGAAAACGUGCUGCGUAAUGUGUGGGGCCUUCUGCUUCAUACCGACGUGAGGGUGACACGACGGGUGGGAAGUCGCUAGACCUUUCGUUGCCAUGGGCCUUGUAGCAUAACAUCGGGCUUGUUUGCUUAGCAGGGAAAUGAUAGGCUGAAGUAAAGAUUCGGUGUUGUAACAAAAAUUAUUAAUAGCAAGUAGUGUGCUUUUCCACUAAGACGAAACACAGGUACAUGUACGAUAUAAUACGGUGGUGCUUUAUAAAUACGGGAACGUUAAUAGCUUCUGCUCUGUUUAAUAGAAUACAAUUUUAAACAUAGUGCGGCAACUGGCCUAUAUUGAGCAUCGUUACCUGAAUAGUACGGGCCGUUGGACAAUAACAAAGGCAAAAUAUAGCAAUCCGGCUGUAAGCAGAUCCUGAUCCAAACAACUGUUGACAGCUAUCGGGAAACCCGGACCGGCUACUGGAAAUACCAGUCUCAAACUAGGCCGCUCAAAAUAUAAAAAACAAUGUUGUCUCAGCAAAUAUCUGGCUUCAGGCCUCAUUCAUUGUUUAGUAUUUUACGCCCGGCCCGUUUACUGUUCGCGAUAGUCGUUGCGGCGGUUAUUCUCACGGCGGGUGCUAACGAUAAAAUCGGAUCUAAGCCUACCGAAACUAGUAAGACGAAACUGCUACGGCCGCACAUGGAAAAAAUCCUUGAGCUAGUGAACGAAGCGUCAAACGGUGACGGAGACCCUUUACUGAACAGAAGAGACAAACGAGAAGCCGGCUGUAGAGGAUAUUUACAAGAUUGUAGCAUCCAGAUUGCUUACCCGUGCUGCACAGGCCUCUGUUGUGUAAGUAAGCGCUGUGAAUGGUCUCCAUCGCGAGAAGCCCGUGUGGAAAGCGCUCGCCAGCGUACCGAUUCAAUAGCGUACCCUUGGAAUGGGCAGUACAAAUACUCGAUGAGAUUUCAGCCUAUUGUACCAGUUUUUCCAAAAAUUUAGCUUGUGCCUUCCUCGUUAGUAUUAGAUUACUAUUAGACAACUACUGAAGUAAUCAGGGUCGUGUGUGGGCUCUGUUGUGCUUAAUUUCAAUCAGUCUAUAAAAUCUUGCAUAAGCGACAUCAAUGACGGUUGUGGACAAUCGAUGUGCCGGUACGAUUCAAACGAUGUUUUUUUGUUAUCGUAAUCGUCAUAAAUUUGAACUUACGCGCCUAGACAGCUGCCUAAUUGUGUUAUUUACGUGUACCGUUAUUUAUACAAUCUUUAGCGGCCGAUACGAGUGACUCUCGCCUCAUUAGACAAAUUGGUUUCUUCGACGCCCUAUACUACCAAUGUAAACAUCUAGGCCAGUACGGUGUCAAUGUUGUCAAAUGUUUUUGCUGCGAAAAUAACAGUUAGGUUCGAUACAAACAGCAUAAAAUAAUGGUUCUAACAGUCUAUACGAAUAUUCUAGCCCAUUGCACAUCCAGAAGUACCUAGACAAAUAGUUCAAAAUAAAAAAAAAAUAGACAAACGAACGCCGUGUCCCAGUCUCGAAAAUGAAAAUCUCUAGAUUGCGUAUCUAUUAUUACGUACAGUUGUGGCAUAUUCCAGGAAUGCCGAAAUACGUUUCUUGCUACUAACGAACCUAUCUGGUAGCCAGAGACCCGCUAAGGAGACCUUCAAACUAGAGAAUCGGGCUUUGUCCUUCUCUACAAACUGGAUUUUACGAACUACUUCUGCCCGUGUG